CCUUAAUGAUGACAGAGAAAGAGAAAUUCCUCCACUCGGGUCCUAUGAUACCAUUCUGCUGUCAAGCAGGCGUCUCGGUGGACAGAGAAUCAAACAUGGCUUCCUGCAGGUGGAGUGGCGAUGAAGGUCACACCGCAGCUCAGAGGAGCAGGGGGAGAGGCAGCACUUCAGAGGAGUCGCCAGCUUUCUCACAGCAAAUUAAGUAAUCCGUGAAAAUGUCAGCGGCAGAGGCACCCGGAUGUUGAGGGUGUAAUGCGGUGGGAUUUAGGCAGGUGAAAAAGUCUGCCAGUGUUCCUGCUGAUAGCUGGAUAGAGACCUCAACAACACAUCCAAAGCUUUGGGAGCAUUUUACCGCUCCUUCCUGGCAUGCCGAUUAGCGGGGCGAGAGCCGCGUGAUGAGGAGAGAGGAGCUGGGCCUGGGAGCCAGCUUUCUCCAAAGCUGUGAAUGGAGGAUUAAGCUCAGGGAGCCGGGCAUGGACAGGUGCCCAGCCGAGAUGCAGAGCUUCCCAGGUACGUGCCCCAACUACAUCUGGCCCCGUUUCCCCCUCUUACUGUUUUUUUGGCUUUAUCAAAAUACCGCUGGGUUGAGAUUGUCAGAGGAGCUUCUGAGUUGGCAGCGGCCACCAUGAUUAGUCAUAUUGAAUUAUGCGUUGAGAAGAUGUCCCUGCAUCCGACGCGCGCACACAUGCAAGUUUAUUUCCUCCCCGAAUGCCCCUCGAACCACUCGUCCUGCAUUUAUGUUUGGUGACAAGAAGACGUGGAUGUGGGUAAACAGGAUUAUAGCCACGGUUCUGCUGUCACACACAUCUCAUAAUUCGCAUGCGUUCCUGACAGGCUUGGUGGCAUUUAAUGUUACCUAACAUUUGCCUUGGCGUGCGCCACAGACACAGGUGCAAAUGAGGGAAUCAGCCGGCGGUGAACAGUGAACGGCUACGAACUCAUUUUUAUUUUUCACAGGAAUCUGACUAUCGAAUAUGAUGCAUUCUUCACAACGCUCAAAUCACUUUGCUGUAUUGUUUCAGGCAGUCUGAAUAUUACAAUCGUCUUCAUUAAUUUUAUCUCGGACAUAAACUUUUAAUACGCCCACAAUCACAUGACUUCCAUGGCAGUUUAAAUGACUCUCCCCUGUAAUUACUGAUCCAGCACUCAAUUAAAAUAAUUUGAUUGAAAUUAUUCAGUGGUUUUAAAUACAAGCCUCAAGCUACAUAACAAUAUUCAGAGCUGUGACCGAGAACCAUGUUUCUGUUUAAGAGGAAAAAACAUGUUCUUAUCCAUAUGAUAACAG
ensembl:lncRNA